UGGGGAAUAUUGGACAAUGGGGGCAACCCUGAUCCAGCCAUGCCGCGUGAGUGAUGAAGGCCCUAGGGUUGUAAAGCUCUUUUGUGCGGGAAGAUAAUGACGGUACCGCAAGAAUAAGCCCCGGCUAACUUCGUGCCAGCAGCCGCGGUAAUACGAAGGGGGCUAGCGUUGCUCGGAAUCACUGGGCGUAAAGGGUGCGUAGGCGGGUUUCUAAGUCAGAGGUGAAAGCCUGGAGCUCAACUCCAGAACUGCCUUUGAUACUGGAAGUCUUGAGUAUGGCAGAGGUGAGUGGAACUGCGAGUGUAGAGGUGAAAUUCGUAGAUAUUCGCAAGAACACCAGUGGCGAAGGCGGCUCACUGGGCCAUUACUGACGCUGAGGCACGAAAGCGUGGGGAGCAAAACAGGAUUAGAUACCCUGGUAGUCCACGCCGUAAACGAUGAAUGCCAGCCGUUAGUGGGUUUUACUCACUAGUGGCGCAGCUAACGCUUUAAGCAUUCCGCCUGGGGAGUACGGUCGCAAGAUUAAAAACUCAAAGGAAUUGACGGGGUCAUAGCUG
rnacentral:rRNA from 1 species